UACGUAGGGCGCAAGCGUUGUCCGGAAUUAUUGGGCGUAAAGAGCUCGUAGGCGGCUUAGUAAGUCGGGUGUGAAAACCCCAGGCUCAACCUGGGGACGCCACCCGAUACUGCUAUAGCUAGAGUCCAGUAGGGGAGUGUGGAAUUCCCAGUGUAGCGGUGAAAUGCGCAGAUAUUGGGAGGAACACCAGCGGCGAAGGCGGCACUCUGGGCUGGUACUGACGCUGAGGAGCGAAAGCGUGGGUAGCGAACAGG
rnacentral:rRNA from 1 species